GCCUCGGUAGUGUAAUGGAUCAGCACGGCAGACCGGAUAUCGGGAGGGGCGGGUUCGAGUCCCGCCUGAGGUU
rnacentral:tRNA from 1 species